rnacentral:rRNA from 1 species
GACGAACGCNGGCGGCGUGCCUAAUACAUGCAAGUAGAACGCUGAAGAGAGGAGCUUGCUCUUCUUGGAUGAGUUGCGAACGGGUGAGUAACGCGUAGGUAACCUGCCUUGUAGCGGGGGAUAACUAUUGGAAACGAUAGCUAAUACCGCAUAACAAUGGAUGACACAUGUCAUUUAUUUGAAAGGGGCAAUUGCUCCACUACAAGAUGGACCUGCGUUGUAUUAGCUAGUAGGUGAGGUAACGGCUCACCUAGGCGACGAUACAUAGCCGACCUGAGAGGGUGAUCGGCCACACUGGGACUGAGACACGGCCCAGACUCCUACGGGAGGCAGCAGUAGGGAAUCUUCGGCAAUGGGGGCAACCCUGACCGAGCAACGCCGCGUGAGUGAAGAAGGUUUUCGGAUCGUAAAGCUCUGUUGUAAGUCAAGAACGAGUGUGAGAGUGGAAAGUUCACACUGUGACGGUAGCUUACCAGAAAGGGACGGCUAACUACGUGCCAGCAGCCGCGGUAAUACGUAGGUCCCGAGCGUUGUCCGGAUUUAUUGGGCGUAAAGCGAGCGCAGGCGGUUUGAUAAGUCUGAAGUUAAAGGCUGUGGCUCAACCAUAGUUCGCUUUGGAAACUGUCAAACUUGAGUGCAGAAGGGGAGAGUGGAAUUCCAUGUGUAGCGGUGAAAUGCGUAGAUAUAUGGAGGAACACCGGUGGCGAAAGCGGCUCUCUGGUCUGUAACUGACGCUGAGGCUCGAAAGCGUGGGGAGCGAACAGG